GGUCGCUUAGCUCAGUUGGUUAGAGCGUGGUGCUAAUACUCAUAUGAGACGCCAAGGUCGCGAGUUCGACCGUACGUUCAUGUUCAUCUCCACCAUCCA
rnacentral:tRNA from 1 species